GAUCAUGGCUCAGGAUGAACGCUAGCUACAGGCUUAACACAUGCAAGUCGAGGGGCAGCAUUUUAGUUUGCUUGCAACUAAGAUGGCGACCGGCGCACGGGUGAGUAACACGUAUCCAACCUGCCGAUAACUCGGGGAUAGCCUUUCGAAAGAAAGAUUAAUAUCCGAUGGUAUAUUAAAACCGCAUGGUUUUACUAUUAAGAUUUCGGUUAUCGAUGGGAUGCGUUCCAUUAGUUUGUUGGCGGGGUAACGG
rnacentral:rRNA from 1 species